rnacentral:rRNA from 1 species
UAGGGAAUCUUCGGCAAUGGACGAAAGUCUGACCGAGCAACGCCGCGUGAGUGAAGAAGGUUUUCGGAUCGUAAAACUCUGUUGUUAGAGAAGAACAAGGACGUUAGUAACUGAACGUCCCCUGACGGUAUCUAACCAGAAAGCCACGGCUAACUACGUGCCAGCAGCCGCGGUAAUACGUAGGUGGCAAGCGUUGUCCGGAUUUAUUGGGCGUAAAGCGAGCGCAGGCGGUUUCUUAAGUCUGAUGUGAAAGCCCCCGUGUCAACCGGGGAGUUUCAUUGGAAACUGGAAGACUUUAGUGCAGAAGAGGAGAGUUGAAUUCCAUGUGUAGCGGUGAAAUGCGUAGAUAUAUGGAGGAACACCAGUGGCGAAGGCGGCUCUCUGGUCUGUAACUGUCGAUGAGGCUCGAAAGCGUGGGGAGCAAACAGG